rnacentral:rRNA from 1 species
AUACGUAGGGUGCAAGCGUUAAUCGGAAUUACUGGGCGUAAAGCGUGCGCAGGCGGUUCGGAAAGAAGGAUGUGAAAUCCCAGGGCUCAACCUUGGAACUGCAUUCUUAACUACCGAACUAGAGUAUGGCAGAGGGGGGUAGAAUUCCGCGUGUAGCAGUGAAAUGCGUAGAUAUGCGGAGGAAUACCGAUGGCGAAGGCAGCCCCCUGGGAUAAUACUGACGCUCACGCACGAAAGCGUGGGUAGCAAACAGGAUUAGAUACCCUGGUAGUCCACGCCCUAAACGAUGUCAACUAGCUGUUGGGCCCUUCGGGGCUUAGUAGCGUAGCUAACGCGUGAAGUUGACCGCCUGGGGAGUACGGUCGCAAGAUUAAAACUCAAAUGAAUUGACGGGG